rnacentral:tRNA from 1 species
UCCCUGGUGGCUCAGAUGGUAAAGCAUCUGCCUGCAAUGCGGGAGACCCGGGUUCAAUUCCUGGGUCUGGAA